rnacentral:rRNA from 1 species
UUUGACCUCGGAUCAGGUAGGGUUACCCGCUGAACUUAAGCAUAUCAAUAAGCGGAGGAAAAGAAACCAACAGGAUUGCCUCAGUAACGGCAGUGAAUAGGGUUACCCGCUGAACUUAAGCAUAUCAAUAAGCGGAGGAAAAGAAACCAACAGGAUUGCCUCAGUAACGGCAGUGA